rnacentral:tRNA from 1 species
GCUCCUGUAGCUCAGUUUGGAUAGAGCACUUGCCUCCUAAGCAAGGUGUCGCAGGUUCGAAUCCUGCCAGGAGCG